AAGUCCUGAGGUAUUCAUCAAUGAAAAACAAGUUAAAGAACCCAUCCAUCCUUUGAAGAUUGAGAAAGAUCACUACGUCAUAACAUCUUGGCACCCUGUUAGAAGUCCUGAGGUAUUCAUCAAUGAAAACAAAGAACCCAUCCAUCCUUUGAAGGUUUAGAAGGGCAGCUUCCAGUCAUCACUACAUCAUAACAUCUUGGCACUCUGAUCAAAUAGUUAGAGCCAUCGACUUGUAACUGAUUGAUAACCAGUGGACUCUGCAAGCAUCUACUUAACAUACAUUGAUUGCACCUCAUAUAGGAUAGAACAUCUAUAAAACAAGCAACUUUGCAAGAUACCGGGUUGGCUAGACGCAACUUCUGAUUGGCUAAAACAUCUUCUGAAUUGGUUGGCUUUUGUUGAUGAGGGCUUUGGACCGUGAGCUGACGGGGUAUAAAACGUGGGCCUCCGACUGGCAGCCUUCAUUCCUGUUUCGAUGCUGGUUGCUGGCGGUGCUAAUCCUGAUGGGCUCAUGGUAGCCUGAUGUUGAUGUCAACCUUUGGGUACACGUCUGUACUUCUCAAACCCAAGCUUCAUAAACAUCUUGAUGGCCCAAGUUGUCCGAGCUGUAAGAUGUAAUUUGAUGUCUACCUGGGGUUCUCCGAUGCAUGCAGCCUGUCAGAACAUACAAGAACAUUAUGUCCGAGGUGUAAGAUGUAAUUUGAUGUCUACCUGAUGCAUGCAGCCUGUCCGAACCUGCAAGAAUAUUUUUGAUGGCCCGACGAUGUCCGAGCUGUAAGAUGUAAUUCGAGGUCUACCUGGGGUCCUCCAAUGCAUGCAGCCUGUCAUAACAUUCUUGAUGGCCCGACAUGUCCGAGCUGUAAGAUGUAAUUUGAUGUCUACCUGGGGUAGCCUGUCAUAACAUUCUUGAUGACUGUGCCGAUGUCUGUGCUGAACGUGUGAUGUUAAACAGGGGGUUCUCUGAUGCAUGCAGCCCAUCGGAACAUUAUUUUCAAGUUCGCUGUUUGAGUCGACCCCCUCGUCACACCAUGAAGAUCUGGUUGUAGAAGAGAUGUGAAACUCAAGAUCAAGACUCAAGAUUCAUUAAAAGAAACAUUUGCUUAAUGUGGUUAAAAUUUCAAAUAUGUUUCAACCAGACUGCGCUAAAAAUGUGCCCAAACUUGCUUGAACUUUGCUAAAAAUUGCAUCAAACUUUGCUAAAAUUGUUUUGAAACUUUGCUAGAAACUUUGCUUGAAAUUGUAUCAACUUUUGCAACAAAAUUUGCUUUAAAUGGUGUCCGCCGACAGUGCUAAAAAUUGCUGAACACUUUGCUCAAAAUUACGUCUAAACUUUGCUUUAAAAAUUGCGCAGAACUUUGCUUGAAACUUUGCUCAAAAUGGCGUCCAACUUUGGUUUAAAAAACUUAAUAGCUAAAAAUUGUGUCAAACUUUGCUUAAAAUUGCAUCGAACUUUGCUUAUAAUAAUUGUUUGAAACAUUGCUUAAAAUUUUAACAAACUUUGCUAAAAAUUUGUGCCGAACUUUGAUAGAACAUGUCCAAAACUUUGCUUAAAUUUGCGUCAAACUUUGCUUGAAAUGUUGUCCAACUAUGCUAAAAAUUGCACAAAACUUUGCUCAAAAUGGAGUCUUACUUUGCUUAAACAAAUUUCAAACUUUGCUAAAAAUUGCGUCAAACUUUGCU